CUUAGAUGUCUUGUGAAAUUGAAAAGAAGAUGGGUGAUGUUGAAGUCUCAAUGGUAGCUGGUAGUUGUCCUUGCAGACAUAUGCAGGUGAUUUUCAGUAUGUUGAAGGCUACUAAAGGUUUGGACGAGGAUACAAUUCCUGUUGAUUUUGGCCUGUGUGAGUCUCAAUGGUAGCAGGUUGUUGCCUCUACAGACGGAUGCUGAUGAUUGCCUCCAUUUCAUUUAGACAAGGUCGUUUAAGUUUGAAGUCGAUUCAGGUACAAUCACCCCAAGAAAAGGGCUGAGGAAAUGACACGUCGACCAGCACAAACUGCUAUGUUUAAGGAUUUGUUGAGAGCUAUGCAAAAUCUUGGUAUGUAGCAAGCACAAGCGCCUUCUCAGAAUGUACAGACUAACUCCAACACCACGAGCUUGGUCGUGGAACAAUUUCGUCGUUAUUAGCCCUCUACUUUUAACAGGAUGGCUGGUCCUUUGGUAGUCGAGGAAUGGAUAAGGGGUUUGUAAUGGAUCUUCAAGCAUCUCGGCUACAUUGAUGCCCAAAAGGUUUUAUGUGCGGAGUUCAUGCUAGUUGAUGUAGCGAGCGAUUGAUGGGAGUCCGUUUCCAGCACUAGGACUGAGGCACAACAAAGCAACCUUACUUGGGCAUGUUUCAAAGAUGAGACGAUGGGAAAAUAUUUUCUACAAGCUUUGAGAGAUCGUAAGGAAAUGAAAUUUCCGCAACUUAAGCAAGGAAGGAUGGCAUUGAAUCAAUUCAAGAAAACACUGAAAAGGGCAAUCAGCGAUUUUAGCCAUUUUUAUGGGAAAACAUGUAGAAUACAAAAAAAAAUAUUAUGGAUUAUUUUGAGUAGAACACAGAUAUAGUCACGACAAGAGAGAAAGAAUUUGGAGAAGUGAAUUUCUUAUUUUCUGCCAACUAUUAUUUCAUCAAUCAAUGUAGGAUACUAUGUGCAAGUUGAUCCGUCCUCGCAAUAUUAUAAUUUUUUUAACACAAUUUAUUUCAUGAAAUGAUAAUUGACCUGUGGGUCUUAAAGAAAUG